CCUCAAGGAGCAGAAGAAUCUCAAUUCCUUCUUUGCCGUCAUGUUUGGCCUCAGCAACUCGGCCAUCAGCCGCCUAGCCCACACCUGGGAGAGGCUGCCUCACAAAGUCCGGAAGCUGUACUCCGCCCUGGAGAGGCUGCUGGUGAGUGCUCAGCCCUGCCCGGCCUGGCUCUGCUAGGAUCAGCUGGGCUUGGCCCUGCCCUCCAAACACCCUCACUCUUGGCAUCCCCGCAGCCCCUCUACCCGUCCUUUGUCACUUUCAGGGUUCCCAAUCUCGGCCCAGGUCCUAGCUCCGGCCUGUGAGUUUGGGGAGCUGGCUGAGGAAGGGGUGUUCAGCACUAGGAUAGGGGUUGCACAGUGCACUCUGGCCUCAGUGUGUGCAUGGGGGCAGGAGAUCCUGUGUCUUCACAGCAUGUGGGUGUCCGGUCCUGGGGUCUGAGGUGCCAGGGCAGUGUCAGGGGCUCCAGAGCCCAAGGGCCUGGCAUGGAGCGCCUGUGUGCACCAGGGCCUGUCUGCCCCUCGGGAACUCCCAGGGGCUUGUGGGCUAGACCAGUAGAAGAGGCGAGGAUAGAGUUGGGGGUGGAACCUCCCACCUCUAGGAACUUUUAAGGAUUUUGAGGGUUUUGACUGUUCUGGAGAGAAGCAGAGAAGAGGUACUUCAUCAGCAUAGCCUGGGAGCUCUUGAGAGAAAAUCCACCUCGUGGGGCUCAAGGGAUUCAAAGGAGUUUACUCUCCAGAGAGAGAAAGGGAGAGAGAGGGAGGGACACAGAAAGAGACAGGGAUAGAAAGGGACAGAGAAGUUACAGCGACAGACUUUUCCAAGAA
rnacentral:sRNA from 1 species